CUUGAGUAGUACAGGAACUUUUUGGUAAAUCUAAAUUGUUUGAGAAUUAUGAUUUAUAUGGUUAAUGUGAUGGUAAGACUAUGUCGGUUUAUAUAUUACAGUUUGGUGAUACAAAUGAGGUGUUUGUUUAUAGGUCGCAAUGAAAAUCUAUAAGCGACUCGGCCCGAGAAGUAUUUAACAGCUAAAAAUUAAGAAGAUGUAUAAGAUUUAGAUGAGCAAGCUCGCAUGGAGGAAGAAGUGCUCAUAUUAGUUUUUUUUUUUAAUUUAUGUUUUUGUUUUAUUUUU
rnacentral:lncRNA from 1 species